AGAGCAUUAGCAUUGAAAAAUGCUAAAGCUAUAUUUCAGUCCUUUUUAACAUUUUAUGUCUCAAAAUGGGCUGCAUCAAAGGAUGCUAAACACAGAAAUUGUAAAAAAUUUUACAAUAGUGCUACAGUACAAUUCUAUCUUUAGAAUUGUACUGUAGCACAAUUGUAAAAAAAAAAUAUAUAUUUUAAUCGGUAUUUCUCUCUCCUCCAUUCUUUCUGUUAUUUCUCUCUCUUCAUUCUCUCUUCCUCUCUGCUCUCUCCGCUCUCUUCAUUCUCUCUUUCUCACUUUCCUCUUUCAAACCCAAACCCAAACAUCUCUUUCUCAUCUGCUGCUGCUGCUGCUACUUGUGCGAAACGACGGCGUUGAAGAAGAAGAAGAAGAAGUAAACGACAUCAUCCAUCUCUUUCUCAUCUUCAUUCUCUCUUUCUCACUUUCCUCUUUCAAACCCAAACCCAAACAUCUCUUUCUCAUCUGCUGCUGCUGCUACUUGUGCGAAACGACGGCGUUGAAGAAGAAGAAGUAAACGCCGUCGGGUUGAAGAUCGGAGUGGGUCAACCGGGUUGAAGAUCGGAGUGGGUCAUGGCGUGGGUCACGGAGAUCGGAGAUCGGAGUGGGUUUUUGGCUGUGACCGGUGUUUUUGGCGUGGGUCAGGUGUUUUUGGUUGUGGUUUUUGGUUGUUGUUGUGGUUUUUGUGCUUAAAGGGGUUGUGGGUCGUGGUUGGGUCCGGGGUUUGGGUCUUGGUUGGGUCGUGGGUGACGGCGUGGGUGUGGUGGUUGUGGUUUUUGGCUGUGACCGGUGUUUUUGGGGCUGGUUUUUGGUUGUUUUUGGCUUGGGUCCAGUGACUUUUGGUUGUGGUUUUUUGAAUGGGUUUGCUCUGGUGGGUUUCAAAUCGGGUUGUGUGAUGGGUCUGUGUGUGUGGGUCUGUGUGUGUGUGGGUUUGCUCUGGUUUUUUGAAUGGGUUUGCUCUGGUGGGUUUCAAUCGGGUUUGCUCUGGUUUUUGGCUUGAUGGGUCUGUGUGUGUGGGGUUCUGUGAGAUGAACGAAUUCUAGAGGUUGAGGGAGGCUGAGGAAAAAAAAAAAAAAAAACGGUUGGAAAGCCUAGGAAAGUGGAACUGAAAAAAAUAUUGGUUAAAAAGAAAUAAUAAAAAAAGAUUAAAGAAUAAUAUUUUAAUAAGAAUAGAAUUUUAGGAUGUGGGAGGUAUUGUAAAAUGGGAUGGUAUAAGUAAUAAAGUGGCUUUUUGGGAUGGUAUAAUAGUAUAGCAUAGCAUUUCUCAAUGCUAGUGCUCUUA